ensembl:rRNA 5S_rRNA 5S ribosomal RNA
AACCGCCACCGUAUCAGCCUGAAGGCGCCCGAUCUCGUCUGAUCUCGGAAGCUAAGCAGGGUCGGGCCUGGUUAGUAUCUUGGAUGGGAGACCACCUGGGAAUCCCGGGUGCUCGAGGCUU